GUUAUUUUGGCAGAAUAGUGCAAUAGAUUUAGAAUCUAAGAAUGUAAUUUAAAUUACAAAUAAUA
rnacentral:tRNA from 1 species